AUACGAAAGGUGCAAGCGUUGUUCGGAUUUACUGGGCGUAAAGAGAGUGUAGGUGGUUUAUUAAGUCGGAUGUGAAAUCCCGGGGCUCAACCUCGGAACUGCAUUCGAUACUGAUAGGCUAGAGUUUGGGAGGGGUAAGCGGAAUUCCGUGUGUAGCAGUGAAAUGCGUAGAUAUACGGAGGAACACCUGGGGCGAAGGCGGCUUACUGGACCAAUACUGACACUGAGACUCGAAAGCGUGGGUAGCAAACAGGAUUAGAUACCCCAGUAGUCC
rnacentral:rRNA from 1 species